CUGAUUUAGUGUGGAGGCCGCUGGCUUGCACCAUUUUGAGUCAGCUAGGUGGACUGGGACUGAACAGAUCUUUGUUUCUGAUGGAUUUAAAACAGACUGACAUCAAGGAAUUACCAGUUUUCUAUCGUGGACUGUUUAAGGUGUGGAGCCUCCUUAAUAAAAAAAGGCUGGGACAUCACUGCUCAAUGUACUGGCUGCUCCAGGAACCAGUUCUUUAUGGGACCCGUUUCAGUGCAGUCUGUCAGGUGGGGCCGACUCUGCUCCGGCGGUUCUGUGAGUCUAAUGUGGUGACUCUGGGACAUGUAGUUCAGCUCGCAGGUGCAAACUUGGACAAUGCAGCUCCUCUUGCCUGCCGCCUAGAGGUGAAAUCGACUCGAGCUAUCUCUCUUCUGCUCAAUAGAUGGAGAGAAGCUCUCACAGUUAGUGAGCGGACUAUGUUACAGCAGUAUUGUGACGGCUCUGUUAAACCUGAUGAUAAUGAUGUAUUCCCUUCGGUGAACAUUUUCCCAGAUUUUAAGGACUGUACAGGAUUGUUUUUAAAGAGUGGGAGUUCCUCUGAGUUUUCUUUCCAAGAUGCAAAAGGAAAAUUAAUGUAUAAAACGUUUGUCAAAGUUUUGCACAGGGACAAAUUAAAUGGUAAAACUGACACUCCAUGGAGAGCUCACUUAGGUCUCAGUGACAGUGUUGGACCUGAAUGGAGAGCGCUGUAUAAACCACCAUUGACCUGCAGUGGAGGGUUAUACAUGGUAUCGUGGCUUUGAAUGCUUUUGUCUCUGUCAUUAAUUCUGAUGUCAGUCAUGAAUGUCCAUUUUGCACUCAUCGUGAGACUGUUUUUCAUUGUUUCAUGGAGUGUUGUCGACUGCUGCCGCUGUUCACAAUGUUGGGACAGUUUUUUGGACUGUUUGGGGAAGUUUUCUCCAAACGUGUUUUCAUUCUGGGAUACAGGUACUCUCAGGAGAGUAAAGACAAAUGCCAGCUUUUUAACUUCAUUCUGGGGACUGCAAAGAUGGCCGUGUAUCUGAGCAGGAGAAACCGAAUAGAGAAAGCGGUGGAUGAUGAUGCUGUGUUUGUGUUUGUGUUUGUAAAAAUGGUGAAAGCUCGUUUAAAAAUAGAUUUUAAUUAUUACAGAAUGAUGAAGGAUCUGGAAAGAUUCUCCAGUGUAUGGUGUUGUAAAAAUGUGCUUUGUCGUGUUGUAGAUGACGAGCUGUCCUUCGGAAAUGUAUUGACAUGAUUUGGAUUCUGUGAAUCUUGUUUUAAUGACGUGUUGUUCUUGAACCUCAACUACUGUUGAGGUUUUUGUUAAAUCUUGAAUAUUUAAUAAAGUAUUGUUAAAAU